AAUGGCCGCGGUAACUUGACCGUGCAAAGGUAGCAUAAUUAUUAGUCUUUUAAUUGAAGGCUUGUAUGAAUGAUUGGAUGAGAAAUAGCCUUUAUUAAUACAAUUUAUUUAAUUUAAUAUUUAAGUAAAAAUUCUUAAAUAAAUAAGUGGGACGAGAAGACCCUAUAGAGUUUAAUUUUUAAAUAUAUUAAAAAACUUGAGAAAUAAUAUUUUUUAAAAUAUUUAAGAAUUUUGUUGGGGUGACAUUAAAAAUCAAUUAACUUUUAAUUGAUAUUUCAUUAAUUUAUGUUAAAUUGAUCCAAAAUUUUUGAUUAAAAGAUAAAAUUACCUUAGGGAUAACAGCGUUAUUAAUUUGGAGAGUUCAAAUCAAUAAAUUAGUUUGCGACCUCGAUGUUGGAUUAAGAAAAAAUUUUGAAGCAGCAUUUAAAAUUGAAGGUCUGUUCGACCUUUUGAUUCUUACG
rnacentral:rRNA from 1 species